ACAUUUUUAUUAAUACACACACAUGUACACGUUAUUAAUUUAAUAUAUUUCAAUUAAUCUAGUUUAAUUANNNNUUUUUUUUUUUUUUUUUUUUUCUUAUAACUGAACUCUCCUUUUAAACAUGCAGUAAAAGUAAAAGUGCAUCUCACCUCGUCGGUGUGGAAGAUCUCCGGAUCUCCCUUCUCCAGCGUCUUCAGCUUCUGUUCCAGUGCCAUCCAUUCUCCCCUGAGGGCCAGAGGCAUCAGGCGCUGAGGGGUCCCGGACACACAAGAGCUUUCUGACAUCAUACAAGACCACAAAACAAGCUCACGGGAACCGAACCGGACGCGUCUGUCAGCACCAUAACAAAAGCGCGUUCAUCAGAAGACAACGCGCAGACAGAUCCGCUGCAGGUGCGGGUCUAACGGUUCCUCCCUCUUGGUAGGAGGUAUAAAGCGAACAUUCCUCCGUUAAAGUUUGCUAACUCCGCCUUCAGUUCCUCCUGUUACCCUGGAUUCAACAAAAAAGACCAUUGAAACAAGCCCAUAGAAAAGAGACAGAACAGUAAGCGCCCAAGCUGCAGAAAACAGCCAUUCAGCUCGACUUUAGUGCUGCUGUUGUCCUUUAACUAACUUACCUCAGAAUCGACAUCAACAUUUUAAAGCUAAAAUACAAUUAGUUAACCUCUAUUUAGGGGUAAAAUCAGGUCCAUCUGCAUGUAAAUGUGUUUUCGCGUGACCACAUAACGUUUAUUUAAUCUAGCAUUGUAAAUUUAACUAAAUAAAUAUAAGGCAUUUUAGACAAGUAACGUUAACCCCGCGCUCGGUUUUAACUGACGCCGCGCUCGCGAGCGGCUCCACGUGACCAAUCAGAGCUCGCGCACGUUUUUAGUUCAUACCAGAGCCGUUAAAUAUUUUUCAACGGCUCUGGUUCAUACUAACUAUAUGAAGAAAUUAAUAUAUAUUUAUUUCUUUUUAUUCGGCAACCGCUUCUCAAAACGCAAAAAUCUACGCAAACCCAAAAUCACCAUGAACCGGAAGUCAGCCGCUGUGUCUGUCUCUGGUCUGUUUACUUUUGCCUCUGCUGAAUCCACGUGAACACAAGUGCGUAUUUGAGUUUAAUAACUUGUUAGUUAUAAUUCUGUGUGUUAGUUAAUUAAGCGGAUAGAUUUCAGUUCAUGCGUUACAAUAUUCAGAGUGAAUGGAGCCUGAUAGUGUGAUAUUAUCUUUCAAGGUUAUUAUUUGUUUGAAAGCGUAGUCAACAUUUUAAAAACGUACUUUUUAAAUACAUUUUAAUAUAUACUGUACCUAAUUAAAUAUAUAGUUAAUAUACCUUUUAAUAUAUAAUUGAUUUUAAUAAAUGUCAUUUCAAUCAGUGACA
ensembl:lncRNA